CCUACGGGUGGCAGCAGUGAGGAAUAUUGGUCAAUGGUCGGGAGACUGAACCAGCCAAGCCGCGUGAGGGAUGAAGGUACAGAGUAUCGUAAACCUCUUUUAUCAGGGAACAAAGGCGGGGACGUGUCCCCGGAUGAGUGUACCUGAAGAAAAAGCAUCGGCUAACUCCGUGCCAGCAGCCGCGGUAAUACGGAGGAUGCGAGCGUUAUCCGGAUUUAUUGGGUUUAAAGGGUGCGCAGGCGGUCUUUUAAGUCAGCGGUCAAAGCUCGGGGAUCACCCCCGGGCCGCCGUUGAAACUGGCAGUAUCGAGUUGGAGAGAAGUAUGCGGAAUGCGGGGUAUAGCGGUGAAAUGCAUAGGUAUCGCGCAGAACUCCGAUUGCGAAGGCAGCAUGCCGGAUCCACACUGACGCUGAGGCACGAAAGCGUGGGUAGCGAACAGGAUUAGAUACCCUAGUAGUC
rnacentral:rRNA from 1 species